CUGCAGGGACCCAAGCUGCGCCUGCAAGGCGCAGCGCUUAGGACGCUGUUCCGAAGGGAUCCGCCGGUUCGAAUCCGGGCCCGCGCA
rnacentral:tRNA from 1 species